UCCAGCUGCUUCUGCCCCCGCGGCGAGCCCUCGUCUGAGGCCGCCGUGUCCAGGAAGCUCCCUCGGCGAGAGGUCAGCGGUCCGGCUGUUUUCUCCGUUCUCCCCCUCAGCGGUUCUCCAGCCACGGCUGGAGAUCACACGGUCUUUCAUUCACUCUUGAAUCGCCUGCCAAAGGGUUAAAUAUAUAUUUAUAUAUCCAUUAUUUUCCUCCCUAAAACCCUUAAACCCUUAUAUUAUUUCAGACGCCCACGCCCGGCUCACCAUUCUGCAUCCAUUUGUAUGUUUGAUCCAUUCAGGCUGGAGGGAGUUUACGGCCACCCCGACAUGCAUUUGGAGCGUUUUUAAACAUGAAUACAGGCUUUUCACAUUAACUGUGAACCCUUAUAAUUACCACAAAACAAAUGUAACGUGUUGAUCGCACACCAGUGGCACUGUUAGUGCUAUUGUUUCUCAAAACGAGGACCCCGUUCCCACUGGCUGCGUCGCACUGUCACAAAUUGGAUGCUGUUAGUUUUCUCUCUCUAUUUAUGUCUCUGAGGAGUAAAAGCAAAAUGCAUGCAAUUUUAUUUUUCAAAGUGU